AUGCAAGUCGAGCGGGGGAAGGUAGCUUGCUACCGGACCUAGCGGCGGACGGGUGAGUAAUGCUUAGGAAUCUGCCUAUUAGUGGGGGACAACAUCUCGAAAGGGAUGCUAAUACCGCAUACGUCCUACGGGAGAAAGCAGGGGAUCUUCGGACCUUGCGCUAAUAGAUGAGCCUAAGUCGGAUUAGCUAGUUGGUGGGGUAAAGGCCUACCAAGGCGACGAUCUGUAGCGGGUCUGAGAGGAUGAUCCGCCACACUGGGACUGAGACACGGCCCAGACUCCUACGGGAGGCAGCAGUGGGGAAUAUUGGACAAUGGGGGGAACCCUGAUCCAGCCAUGCCGCGUGUGUGAAGAAGGCCUUAUGGUUGUAAAGCACUUUAAGCGAGGAGGAGGCUACUUUAGUUAAUACCUAGAGAUAGUGGACGUUACUCGCAGAAUAAGCACCGGCUAACUCUGUGCCAGCAGCCGCGGUAAUACAGAGGGUGCGAGCGUUAAUCGGAUUUACUGGGCGUAAAGCGUGCGUAGGCGGCUUAUUAAGUCGGAUGUGAAAUCCCCGAGCUUAACUUGGGAAUUGCAUUCGAUACUGGUGAGCUAGAGUAUGGGAGAGGAUGGUAGAAUUCCACGUGUAGCGGUGAAAUGCGUAGAGAUCU
rnacentral:rRNA from 1 species